CAUUAAAUCCAGUUACUGACAAUUACAAUUAUUACUUUAUGCAGUAUCAUAAUGAUAUAGCAUCAAUUAUCUCAGCUUAAAACCUUUAACCAUAACGAUAUACAUCAACCAUUAUCUCAAGUUUCAACUGCUGCUGCAACAGCAUCUGGUCACAAAUGGGCUUAUUCUUAGGCAAUUAGAAGUGAGUAUGUUUUGUCUGUACGUAAGAUUUGGAACUAUUAGAUGUUUUAUUCAAAGGGUGGAUGGAUAGAGUCCAUCACUUUGACUUCAACUAGUGAUACAUGAUUCUAAUUGACUUUUCUUAAAUCACUUAUCAUCUAAUUUUGGUUUACUACUACGGAUUCAGAGUUUAAAUGACAAUUGCCAAUAUGCUAAAUAUAUGGAUUAUUUAAUUUUGUGAUCACUGGGAAAAGUCAUUUACCACAUUGCACCUAUUAUAAUUAAAUCUGAUUUCAUUUUAACUGCACUGUCAAAGUUCUUUUGCUUAUCACAUAACUAUUUAUGAUGCUUUUUGGUCAUCAGCAGUAUGUGUACACCCAUAUAAGCAUCUAAACAUAAGCAAUGUAAACAUGCUGAGUUUCUGAUCUAUCAGUUACACAAAAGUCCCAAAGGAACUGUUUCUCAUCUGGACAUUAAAAAAAAUAUCUGUGUACGAUAAUUUGCUUCAAAUAAUAUGAAACAAUAUAAAACAAUUUCAGGAUCAGAUAUGUAAACAUGAUGAGUUUGAAGCUUCUAUAAACAUAAGCUAGAUUAUGGAGAUACACAUACAUGAACCACAUAUAGGUUCAGAUAUGAGCUGUUCUGUUUAUUCAGGUAACUGAAUUUCACCUGUGCCUGAGUGCAAACCUGCAUAACUCAAAUUUUGUUCUACAAUAGGAUAUUCAAUGGUAUAUAUCAGAUUUUUAAGAGAUUUAAGGACUCGUUAGAAACAUGAACUUCACCUAAAGCACCUGACUAGCAACAAGGUUCAGGGAAGUUCACCGAGCCAUUUUUACAAAACAUUAUCACACAAAUGUUGGAAAAUUGCCACAACUACAAUCAAACAACUAAAUCAAUACACAGACAAUAUGAGACUAAGAACAACAAUGUGCAUUCUCAAUUUCUGGCCAUGAAGCAUCUAAAUUUUGAAAAUUUUAACAACUAGAAUUUAAUCUGUUCAUGAAAAACUCCGAUCAGAACAUAUAAAAAACAGAAAAUCCUGGAAUUCCUGAUGAUGCUCUUAUAUAUGAAGUAAAUUAGCAGGGGAAAACUAUAAAAAUUAUAAGCUACCAUAAAAGAGUUAAAAUUCUGUUUCCAAACUAUCCAUUAUCCACAUAUCAAUAUCCAGUCAUAACGUCAUAUAAACACCACUAGCAACAGAAAGAAAUCAUAGCAAUCUGAGGUUGCAGUAAAGGAUCUUUUCACGAAUUUUCACGAAACUACCUCAUAAUAUAGUGCCACAAAUUUUUCCCAUAAAAGCAGCCCAGAACAGUGCAAACAAAUCUUAACUGAAACGUCAUCUUAAAUGCAAACUAAAUAUUCAAGCACAUCAGAAUAUCCACAAGAAAAUAGAACAGGCAGCCCAAGUUCCUAUUAGAUGACAUUUGAAUUGACAGAAUGUUUCAUAGUGACAAU
rnacentral:lncRNA from 1 species